CGGGACACGUGGUAUCCUGUCUGAAUAUGGGGGGACCAUCCUCCAAGGCUAAAUACUCCUGACUGACCGAUAGUGAACCAGUACCGUGAGGGAAAGGCGAAAAGAACCCCGGCGAGGGGAGUGAAAAAGAACCUGAAACCGUGUACGUACAAGCAGUGGGAGCACGCUUAGGCGUGUGACUGCGUACCUUUUGUAUAAUGGGUCAGCGACUUAUAUUCUGUAGCAAGGUUAACCGAAUAGGGGAGCCGAAGGGAAACCGAGUCUUAACUGGGCGUUAAGUUGCAGGGUAUAGACCCGAAACCCGGUGAUCUAGCCAUGGGCAGGUUGAAGGUUGGGUAACACUAACUGGAGGACCGAACCGACUAAUGUUGAAAAAUUAGCGGAUGACUUGUGGCUGGGGGUGAAAGGCCAAUCAAACCGGGAGAUAGCUGGUUCUCCCCGAAAGCUAUUUAGGUAGCGCCUCGUGAAUUCAUCUCCGGGGGUAGAGCACUGUUUCGGCAAGGGGGUCAUCCCGACUUACCAACCCGAUGCAAACUGCGAAUACCGGAGAAUGUUAUCACGGGAGACACACGGCGGGUGCUAACGUCCGUCGUGAAGAGGGAAACAACCCAGACCGCCAGCUAAGGUCCCAAAGUCAUGGUUAAGUGGGAAACGAUGUGGGAAGGCCCAGACAGCCAGGAUGUUGGCUUAGAAGCAGCCAUCAUUUAAAGAAAGCGUAAUAGCUCACUGGUCGAGUCGGCCUGCGCGGAAGAUGUAACGGGGCUAAACCAUGCACCGAAGCUGCGGCAGCGACGCUUAUGCGUUGUUGGGUAGGGGAGCGUUCUGUAAGCCUGUGAAGGUGUACUGUGAGGUAUGCUGGAGGUAUCAGAAGUGCGAAUGCUGACAUAAGUAACGAUAAAGCGGGUGAAAAGCCCGCUCGCCGGAAGACCAAGGGUUCCUGUCCAACGUUAAUCGGGGCAGGGUGAGUCGACCCCUAAGGCGAGGCCGAAAGGCGUAGUCGAUGGGAAACAGGUUAAUAUUCCUGUACUUGGUGUUACUGCGAAGGGGGGACGGAGAAGGCUAUGUUGGCCGGGCGACGGUUGUCCCGGUUUAAGCGUGUAGGCUGGUUUUCCAGGCAAAUCCGGAAAAUCAAGGCUGAGGCGUGAUGACGAGGCACUACGGUGCUGAAGCAACAAAUGCCCUGCUUCCAGGAAAAGCCUCUAAGCAUCAGGUAACAUCAAAUCGUACCCCAAACCGACACAGGUGGUCAGGUAGAGAAUACCAAGGCGCUUGAGAGAACUCGGGUGAAGGAACUAGGCAAAAUGGUGCCGUAACUUCGGGAGAAGGCACGCUGAUAUGUAGGUGAAGUCCCUCGCGGAUGGAGCUGAAAUCAGUCGAAGAUACCAGCUGGCUGCAACUGUUUAUUAAAAACACAGCACUGUGCAAACACGAAAGUGGACGUAUACGGUGUGACGCCUGCCCGGUGCCGGAAGGUUAAUUGAUGGGGUUAGCGCAAGCGAAGCUCUUGAUCGAAGCCCCGGUAAACGGCGGCCGUAACUAUAACGGUCCUAAGGUAGCGAAAUUCCUUGUCGGGUAAGUUCCGACCUGCACGAAUGGCGUAAUGAUGGCCAGGCUGUCUCCACCCGAGACUCAGUGAAAUUGAACUCGCUGUGAAGAUGCAGUGUACCCGCGGCAAGACGGAAAGACCCCGUGAACCUUUACUAUAGCUUGACACUGAACAUUGAGCCUUGAUGUGUAGGAUAGGUGGGAGGCUUUGAAGUGUGGACGCCAGUCUGCAUGGAGCCGACCUUGAAAUACCACCCUUUAAUGUUUGAUGUUCUAACGUUGACCCGUAAUCCGGGUUGCGGACAGUGUCUGGUGGGUAGUUUGACUGGGGCGGUCUCCUCCUAAAGAGUAACGGAGGAGCACGAAGGUUGGCUAAUCCUGGUCGGACAUCAGGAGGUUAGUGCAAUGGCAUAAGCCAGCUUGACUGCGAGCGUGACGGCGCGAGCAGGUGCGAAAGCAGGUCAUAGUGAUCCGGUGGUUCUGAAUGGAAGGGCCAUCGCUCAACGGAUAAAAGGUACUCCGGGGAUAACAGGCUGAUACCGCCCAAGAGUUCAUAUCGACGGCGGUGUUUGGCACCUCGAUGUCGGCUCAUCACAUCCUGGGGCUGAAGUAGGUCCCAAGGGUAUGGCUGUUCGCCAUUUAAAGUGGUACGCGAGCUGGGUUUAGAACGUCGUGAGACAGUUCGGUCCCUAUCUGCCGUGGGCGCUGGAGAACUGAGGGGGGCUGCUCCUAGUACGAGAGGACCGGAGUGGACGCAUCACUGGUGUUCGGGUUGUCAUGCCAAUGGCACUGCCCGGUAGCUAAAUGCGGAAGAGAUAAGUGCUGAAAGCAUCUAAGCACGAAACUUGCC
rnacentral:rRNA from 1 species